UACGUAGGGGGCUAGCGUUGUCCGGAACCAUUGGGCGUAAAGAGCGUGUAGGCGGUUCGGUAAGUCCGCUGUGAAAGUCCAGGGCUCAACCCUGGAAUGCCGGUGGAUGCUGUCGGGCUAGAGUCCGGAAGAGGCGAGUGGAAUUCCUGGUGUAGCGGUGAAAUGCGCAGAUAUCAGGAGGAACACCAAUGGCGAAGGCAGCUCGCUGGGACGGUACUGACGCUGAGACGCGAAAGCGUGGGGAGCAAACAGG
rnacentral:rRNA from 1 species